CAGAGAGGAGAACCCAGAAUCCAAGUCCACUUUGAGGAAUUACAAAUUCUUUUACCUUCAAUGCCACUCCACUCAGCAUCUCUCUAUCAGAUGUACUUGCGAACAUUUCUGUCUUAUGGGAAGAGGAAAGAGACAAGGGAGUCCCACUGUAAGUGGAAGCCUUCACUUAAUAAAAGCCCACUCUGCAUCUGGUUUUGCCGUCUCUGCAAGAAACUCUCAUCCGUGAUGGGCAUGAGAUGAAGCCUCACUGCAACUUCCAAAAAGAAUUUUUUUUUUCAAAUAUCCAGCAUCCAAUCACAUAAAAG
rnacentral:lncRNA from 1 species